CCYUCAAGAUGGGACGAAAGAUCUAUCUGCACCGCUUGAGCGGCUUAGGGCAACAUUAGGUGCUUUUCAAAAAGAAACUAGUUAUUCCUAUUUGACCACAAACCAAUCGAUCUAGCCAUGGGCAGGUUGAGGAGAGCUCUAACAAGCCUUGGAGGAUUGAAUCCACGUAUGUGGCAAAAUACCAGGAUGACUUGUGGCUAGGGGUGAAAGGCCAACCAAGAUCGGAUAUAGCUGGUUUUCCGCGAAAUCUAUUUCAGUAGAGCGUAUGAUGUCGAUGGCCCGAGGUAGAGCACUCAAUGGGCUAGGGUGGCCCCCAUUUCGUUUUCAUUUGUACAGAUAGACUUUUUGGGUGAUUAGAUCCAAAAUCAAGAGGGAAACAACACAGAUCAUACGCUAAGAUCGUGAAAAAGGAAGUGAUUGGUGGUGGGCUUGGAAGCAUCCAUCCUUUGAAGAAAGCAUAAUAGCUCACUUGGCGGGCAAUCUUUGGCUAUGGGUAUUUUCACAUAGGCUCAAACAUGAUUUGAAGGGCGCCAUGCGUUCAAUACCAAAAAAGCCUCUGGAAAGCUGCAGGGAUGACAAAAAGAGGG
rnacentral:ncRNA from 1 species